rnacentral:lncRNA from 1 species
GUUUGGAACUUACUUCUUCAGAAAAUGUAUGAUUCUCCAACAAUCCCUAAUUUCACACCCAUAAAUUCGCCAAUCCAUUUACAAAAGGUAGACACCUCUAUAUGCAAGUGGAGUUAAGUCUCCUGUGGAACGUGGACUAGGGCACCGUAGGCCGCACUCUUCUGCUGCAUGAGGCUUGACCCGAGGCUAGCCCUUUUGCCCCUUUUGGAAAACUGCACUGUAGGUGCUCUCUCUUGACCGGCCUAACCCACUUCUCCGAACGAGGUUGAGGGUUUUCUUAUCAUUUUAGGGAGCCCCAUAUUCAAAAGCUGUUGAAUUGUUUUGAGUAUGUCCAACGGAAGACAGUUGUUGCAAC